rnacentral:rRNA from 1 species
GACGAACGCUGGCGGCGUGCCUAAUACAUGCAAGUCGAACGCUGAAGAGAGGAGCUUGCUCUUCUUGGGUGAGUUGCGCACGGGUGAGUAACGCGUAGGUAACCUGCCUGGUAGCGGGGGAUAACUAUUGGAAACGAUAGCUAAUACCGCAUAAAAUGGAUUAUCGCAUGAUAAUCCAUUGAAAGGUGCAAAUGCUUCCAUACCAGAUGGACCUGCGUUGUAUUAGCUAGUUGGUGGGGUAACGGCUCACCAAGGCGACGAAACAUAGCCGACCUGAGAGGGUGAUCGGCCACACUGGGAAUUGGACACGGCCCAGACCCCUAAGGGAGGCAGCAGUAGGGGAUCUUCGGCAAUGGACGGAAGUCUGACCGAGCAACGCCGCGGGAGUGAAGAAGGUUGUCGGAUCGGAAAGCUCCGUUGUAAGAGAAGAACGAGUGUGAGAGUGGAAAGUGCACACUGUGACGGUAUCUAACCAGAAAGGGACGGCUAACUACGUG